rnacentral:rRNA from 1 species
UACAGAGGUCUCAAGCGUUUGUUCGGAUUCAUUGGGCGUAAAGGGUGCGUAGGCGGCGCGGUAAGUCGGGUGUGAAAUCUCGGAGCUUAACUCCGAAACUGCAUUCGAUACUGCCGUGCUUGAGGACUGGAGAGGAGACUGGAAUUUACGGUGUAGCGGUGAAAUGCGUAGAUAUCGUAAGGAAGACCAGUGGCGAAGGCGGGUCUCUGGACAGUUCCUGACGCUGAGGUACGAAGGUCAGGGGAGCAAACGGG